GGGAGUUGCCACCGACAUCGGACACCGGAAAGCAGGCUCGUUGUGUUGCGUAAGGUAUAUGAGGGCUUUGAAAACAGAACACCGUUGUUUCUGUGAUUCGAUCAUUCAGAAAUUAUGAAGGCACAGUUCUUGCCUUUGAUUGACUUAUAGUCAAGUGGAGUGGACACAGGUCAUGGUGGCAGUAUAGCCACUUAAGUAUUCCGAAGGAGAUUUAUCAGCAGGUUGCAGGUGAACAUGGCCUUGAGAACUGGCACGGGAAACUUGAACUCAAGAACCAAACCAGAGAUGCAGCCGAGAGGGCUGGGCGUGGACCUCACAGAACGCAGGAGAGCAGCGAGGCAGGAGGCCCGGAAGCUGCUGGCAGGAGACCUCUCCCCACGGCACUCAGCUCUGCACUUGGCGGGCUGAUGUUUUCUCCUAAAAGACUUGUGCAUGUGCUCUCUGUCAUACGUGGUUCUGCAUUCUCAUGUUUGUCAUUAAA
ensembl:lncRNA